rnacentral:rRNA from 1 species
AGCAGCCGCGGUAAUUCCAGCUCCAAUAGCGUAUAUUAAAGUUGUUGCAGUUAAAAAGCUCGUAGUUGAAUUUCGGGGUUAGUAGGUUGGUCAUGCCUCUGGUAUGUACUGGUCUCACUAAUUCCUCCUUCCUGAUGAGCCGUAAUGCCAUUAAUUUGGUGUUGCGGGGAAUUUGGACUGUUACUUUGAAAAAAAUUAGAGUGUUUAAAGCAAGCUAACGCUUGAAUACAUUAGCAUGGAAUAAUGAAAUAGGACGUUCGAUCCUAUUUUGUUGGUUUCUAGGAUUGACGUAAUGAUUAAUAGGGAUAGUUGGGGGCAUUAGUAUUCAAUUGUCAGAGGUGAAAUUCUUGGAUUUAUUGAAGACUAACUACUGCGAAAGCAUUUGCCAAGGAUGUUUUCAUUAAUCAAGAACGAAAGUUAGGGGAUCGAAGACGAUCAGAUACCGUCGUAGUCUUAACCAUAAACUAUGCCGACUAGGGAUCGGAUGAUGUUAAUUUUUAAUGUACUCUAUUCGGCGCCU